GUUGUAUGGUUAAGAGACAAAGCGUACAAGGUGGAUGCCUUGGCAAUCAGAGGCGAAGAAGGACGUGCUAAUCUGCGAAAAGCUCGGAUGAGUCGAUAAGAGGCGUUUAAUCCGAGAUAUCCGAAUGGGGAAACCCGGUGGGUGAAGAGCCCACUAUCAUUAUCUGAAUCCAUAGGAUAAUGAGGCGAACCGGGAGAACUGAAACAUCUAAGUAUCCCGAGGAAAAGAAAUCAACCGAGAUUUUGUGAGUAGCGGCGAGCGAAAGCGAAGGAGCCUGUUAGUGAUAGCGACAGAGACAGAGGAAUGUGCUGGGAAGCACAGCGAGACAGGGUGAUAGCCCCGUACUCGAAGUCUGGGUCGUGGUACUAAGCUAACGAAAAGUAGGGCGGGACACGUGAUAUCCUGUUUGAAGAAGGGGGGCCCAUCCUCCAAGGCUAAAUACUCCUGAUUGACCGAUAGUGAAGCAGUACUGUGAAGGAAAGGCGAAAAGAACCGGGGUGACCGGAGUGAAAUAGAACCUGAAACCUUGUACGUACAAGCAGUGGGAGCCUGAAAGGGUGACUGCGUACCUUUUGUAUAAUGGGUCAGCGAGUUAUAUUUUGUAGCGAGGUUAACCGGAUAGGGGAGCCGAAGGGAAACCGAGUCUUAACUGGGCGCUUAGUUGCAAGGUAUAGACCCGAAACCCGGUGAUCUAGCCAUGGGCAGGUUGAAGGUUGGGUAACACUAACUGGAGGACCGAACCGACUAAUGUUGAAAAAUUAGCGGAUGACUUGUGGCUGGGGGUGAAAGGCCAAUCAAACCGGGAGAUAGCUGGUUCUCCCCGAAAUCUAUUUAGGUAGAGCCUUGAGCGGACACCUUUGGGGGUAGAGCACUGUUUCGGCUAGGGGGCCAUCCCGGCUUACCAACCCGAUGCAAACUACGAAUACCGAAGAGUGAUACUCAGGAGACACACGGCGGGUGCUAACGUCCGUCGUGGAGAGGGAAACAACCCAGACCGCCGGCUAAGGUCCCAAAGUACUAAUUAAGUGGGAAACGAAGUGGGAAGGCUUAGACAGCUAGGAUGUUGGCUUAGAAGCAGCCAUCAUUUAAAGAAAGCGUAAUAGCUCACUAGUCGAGUCGGCCUGCGCGGAAGAUGUAACGGGGCUAAAAUUAGUCACCGAAGCUGCGGCAUCAGGCGUAUCACUAAUACGCCUUACGAUUAACAACUUGCGAAAUGAAGAGAAGCAAGUUGGUCAAGCGCCAAACACGUUGAGACGGAAGUCAUGACGGGAUGCGGUUGGGAAUUGAGGAAUAUUAGUGAUACGCCUGUUGGGUAGGGGAGCGUUGUGUAAGCGGAAGAAGGUGUAUUGAGAGGUAUGCUGGACGUAUCACAAGUGCGAAUGCUGACAUAAGUAACGAUAAAACGGGUGAAAAACCCGUUCGCCGGAAGACCAAGGGUUCCUGUCCAACGUUAAUCGGGGCAGGGUGAGUCGGCCCCUAAGGCGAGGCUGAAAAGCGUAGUCGAUGGGAAACGGGUUAAUAUUCCCGUACUUGGUAAAGCUGCGAUGUGGGGACGGAGCAGGUUAGGUUAGCGUGCUGUUGGA
rnacentral:rRNA from 1 species